rnacentral:rRNA from 1 species
GAUGAACGCUGGCGGCGUGCCUAAUACAUGCAAGUCGAGCGAACAGACGAGGAGCUUGCUCCUCUGACGUUAGCGGCGGACGGGUGAGUAACACGUGGAUAACCUACCUAUAAGACUGGGAUAACUUCGGGAAACCGGAGCUAAUACCGGAUAAUAUAUUGAACCGCAUGGUUCAAUAGUGAAGGACGGUUUUGCUGUCACUUAUAGAUGGAUCCGCGCCGCAUUAGCUAGUUGGUAAGGUAACGGCUUACCAAGGCGACGACGCGUAGCCGACCUGAGAGGGUGAUCGGCCACACUGGAACUGAGACACGGUCCAGACUCCUACGGGAGGCAGCAGUAGGGAAUCUUCCGCAAAGGGCGAAAGCCUGACGGAGCAACGCCGCGUGAGUGAUGAAGGUCUUCGGAUCGUAAAACUCUGUUAUUAGGGAAGAACAAAUGUGUAAGUAACUAUGCACGUCUUGACGGUACCUAAUCAGAAAGCCACGGCUAACUACGUG